CCUACGGGCGGCAGCAGUGAGGAAUAUUGGUCAAUGGACGAGAGUCUGAACCAGCCAAGUAGCGUGAAGGAUGACUGCCCUAUGGGUUGUAAACUUCUUUUAUAUGGUAAUAAAAUGUUCCACGUGUGGGAUUUUGUAUGUACCAUAUGAAUAAGGAUCGGCUAACUCCGUGCCAGCAGCCGCGGUAAUACGGAGGAUCCGAGCGUUAUCCGGAUUUAUUGGGUUUAAAGGGAGCGUAGGUGGAUUGUUAAGUCAGUUGUGAAAGUUUGCGGCUCAACCGUAAAAUUGCAGUUGAAACUGGCAGUCUUGAGUACAGUAGAGGUGGGCGGAAUUCGUGGUGUAGCGGUGAAAUGCUUAGAUAUCACGAAGAACUCCGAUUGCGAAGGCAGUUCACUGGACUGCAACUGACACUGAGGCUCGAAAGUGUGGGUAUCAAACAGGAUUAGAUACCCCUGUAGUC
rnacentral:rRNA from 1 species